UCCUCCUACGGGGGGCAGCAGUGAGGAAUAUUGGUCAAUGGGCGGAAGCCUGAACCAGCCAAGUCGCGUGAGGGAAUAAGGCCCUACGGGUCGUAAACCUCUUUUGCCGGGGAGCAAGGGCCGGGACGCGUCCCGGCCCGGAGAGUACCCGGAGAAAAAGCAUCAGCUAACUCCGUGCCAGCAGCCGCGGUAAUACGGAGGAUGCGAGCGUUAUCCGGUUUUAUUGGGUUUAAAGGGUGCGUAGGCGGGCUUUUAAGUUAGCGGUAAAAAUUCGGG
rnacentral:rRNA from 1 species